UACGUAGGGUCCGAGCGUUGUCCGGAAUUACUGGGCGUAAAGAGCUCGUAGGUGGUUUGUCGCGUUGUUCGUGAAAACUCACAGCUCAACUGUGGGCGUGCGGGCGAUACGGGCAGACUGGAGUACUGCAGGGGAGACUGGAAUUCCUGGUGUAGCGGUGAAAUGCGCAGAUAUCAGGAGGAACACCGGUGGCGAAGGCGGGUCUCUGGGCAGUAACUGACGCUGAGGAGCGAAAGCGUGGGUAGCGAACAGG
rnacentral:rRNA from 1 species